GAUUGAACGCUGGCGGCAUGCCUUACACAUGCAAGUCGAACGGCAGCACGGGAGCAAUCCUGGUGGCGAGUGGCGAACGGGUGAGUAAUAUAUCGGAACGUGCCCAGUCUGGGGGAUAACGUAGCGAAAGCUACGCUAAUACCGCAUACGAUCUAUGGAUGAAAGCGGGGGAUCGCAAGACCUCGCGCGAUUGGAGCGGCCGAUAUCAGAUUAGGUAGUUGGUGAGGUAAAGGCUCACCAAGCCGACGAUCUGUAGCUGGUCUGAGAGGACGACCAGCCACACUGGGACUGAGACACGGCCCAGACUCCUACGGGAGGCAGCAGUGGGGAAUUUUGGACAAUGGGCGCAAGCCUGAUCCAGCAAUGCCGCGUGCAGGAUGAAGGCCUUCGGGUUGUAAACUGCUUUUGUACGGGACGAAACGGUGAGCUCUAAUACAGUUUGCUAAUGACGGUACCGUAAGAAUAAGCACCGGCUAACUACGUG
rnacentral:rRNA from 1 species